UCCCCUCCCUGUCUGUCCCCUCCCUGCCCCUUCCCUCCUGAGUGUCGCUUCACAAUUGCCCCUGUUUCCACAACAGAAAUUUGAAAAGGAGUCUUUGCCGAAGUUCAGGCACCAAAUUGAAACUCACCUUCCUGCUACCUGUAUGAACAGUUGGCGCAAGUCUCCGGAUCUUCGCGGGGGCUCGUCUCUGCAAGGCCCCCAUGUAGACCCGGAGUCGGCAAGCGUGCGCCUUUCGAGUCCCUGGAAGAGAACACGAGUGGUCCCCGUGCUUCAGGGGACAAAUCCCUGACCCCGUUCCGCUCAGGUCGGCGUCCGGACGUCCCCUGGGGCGGUGACCCCUCCGGGGCAGGGCCCUUGGCCUCCCAGCCUCGCCCUCGGCCUUCUUUUGACACCCUGUGGUCGGCCCCGCCCUCUGCCUCAGGGCUGCAGAGCGAGCUGUGGUUUGGGCCCUGAGCCGGGGUGUUUCCCAGGACAGGACGCUGCCCGUCGGGGAAGCUCUGACCUCACCUUCUCCCAAGUCCCAGGUCGCCGGGAGCCGUCGAUGUCACUGUUGUGCCUGAUUUUUCUCCCACGUGGAGCGGCUCCUGCCUUGCAGCCCCUCCCACCCGUCGGUGUGGACGGAGAUGCAUUUACCUACUUAGGAAUGAAAUUAGAGCAGGCUCAUUAAUAACUCAUGUGAACUCAUUUUUCUAAGAAUUUGAUGGAAGAAUUAGUUGGUAUUAAAAAUGCUGUGGUUUUUAA